AGAGUUCGAUUAUGCUCAGGAUGAACGCUGGCGGCGUGCUUAACACAUGCAAGUCGAGCGAAGCACUUGAGUUUGAUUCUUCGGAUGAAGACUUUUGUGACUGAGCGGCGGACGGGUGAGUAACGCGUGGGUAACCUGCCUCAUACAGGGGGAUAACAGUUAGAAAUGACUGCUAAUACCGCAUAAGACCACGGUACCGCAUGGUACAGUGGUAAAAACUCCGAUGGUAUGAGAUGGACCCGCGUCUGAUUAGGUAGUUGGUGGGGUAACGGCCUACCAAGCCGACGAUCAGUAGCCGACCUGAGAGGGUGACCGGCCACAUUGGGACUGAGACACGGCCCAG
rnacentral:rRNA from 1 species